rnacentral:rRNA from 1 species
GUGGGGAAUAUUGGACAAUGGGCGCAAGCCUGAUCCAGCCAUACCGCGUGGGUGAAGAAGGCCUUCGGGUUGUAAAGCCCUUUUGUUGGGAAAGAAAUCCUGUCGAUUAAUACUCGGUGGGGAUGACGGUACCCAAAGAAUAAGCACCGGCUAACUUCGUGCCAGCAGCCGCGGUAAUACGAAGGGUGCAAGCGUUACUCGGAAUUACUGGGCGUAAAGCGUGCGUAGGUGGUGGUUUAAGUCUGCUGUGAAAGCCCUGGGCUCAACCUGGGAAUUGCAGUGGAUACUGGAUCACUAGAGUGUGGUAGAGGGAUGCGGAAUUUCUGGUGUAGCAGUGAAAUGCGUAGAGAUCAGAAGGAACAUCCGUGGCGAAGGCGGCAUCCUGGGCCAACACUGACACUGAUGCACGAAAGCAUGGGGAGCAAACAGGAUUAGAAACCCCAGUAGUCC